GAAAACAACAGCCAGGUUAGUGUUGGUCAUCUUGUUCUGGUCACUGUGUGCAGAAAUCUGUGGAGGGAAUCAGGGACUGCAGCAGGAAGCCACAGAUGCUGCCUCCCACUCCCAGCAACAAUGACCAGGGCGCAGAGGAGGCGGCAGCUCCUCCUUCCCCCUCCCUUCACCCCAGAGGCCAAGUCCAAGGUCUCACCUGCACCAGGAAAGCAGUCAGGAAACGAAGCACCUGGUAGUUCUCCUCGGGCAGCGUCUGGAGGACCUGCAGUGUCGCUGGCACCCUCUGGCUUUCAUCAAUGUCUAUGAGGAAAGGAGGCCCGGGUUAUAGGGGCCCUAGGCUGGGCUGGUUCAGGACGCUCUGAUGCAGGCUAGAGGGGAGACCCCCAGCAGUCUUCCCUGGGAGGCGCCUAGGCCCGAAAGCCUGCAGCGCACCUG
rnacentral:lncRNA from 1 species